UGCAGGGAUCAUCAAGGUGCUUCUCGAAAAUUUAGCUUUCCUGAUUUCACAUAUCCCAAAAUUUUCCUUAAGCUAUACUAUGAAAACAAGUGGCCGCAAAAUGAAUAGGGAGCGAUUAUCUGGGCAAACAAAUGGAAGACAACUGACCAGAUUGAAUGGGGAGUAAUUAUCUUCGUACAUUUUACUUAAACCCUUCAGUUUAUGUCUGGGCACGAUUCAAAGCAUGCUUGUUAAUUAGAUAAAGAAGUCAAGUGCCAUGAACAUAUAACUAACUAUUUUACCACUUGUAUAGAAAUACAACUGAAUUAUUUUACCAUUUGUUCCUUGCAUCUGCAUGCAGUUCUCUGAGAGUGAUCCUGGUGACCCUGAGCUUGAUAUGUCAUCUAUUUCCUCUUCACUACAAGCAGAAGAGCCAUCAGUUCCAGCAACCUUUUGUCCAACUUCUAGCCUUUGGUUAUCAUGAGCCAAGACAAGCGGCUUCACAUCAGAAGUUAUGCGUUUGCUUCAGGAGGCCAGUAUUUUGACUGCACUCGAUAUCGAGAACACAGGCGUUAUAGUGGGAUUCCUAAGGGAUACAUACCUAUCAGGAGACCACAUGUUCAAAGAUAUAUGCCUAGGUCUUGUUAAUCGAAACACUGAACAAAGACUUAUUCCUGUAAGAACAUCAAAAGCUGGUUAAAAUGCCGAUGCACUCUCCAACCAUGAUCAGCGAACAUUUGCGUUUGACGAAGUUCCUCUGCACAUUCUCCAUCGGGUUCCUGCCCAGCUUCAAGGUAGUGUAUUUUCCAGAACUAAUACAAUGUGCUUCUCAGAAUCACAGGCUCACCAGUAUCAUGCAACAUCCUCGGUAUCAAAGAAAUUUACCCCUGCUCUGAUUGAAGUGGUCGAUGAUUUACUUGUUUUGUCGAAUGGUCACAUAUAUCCACUCUACAAGAAACAAAAGGGAGUGUUUUCUUGGAUACAAGAAUUUUUAAGUGUUUGCAGCAAAAUGUCUUUUUAUGAUGUUUUCAACUUAUAUCGGCUGUUCCCCCACCCCCUCUGUGUGUGUGUGUGUGAGUGUCCGCGCAUGAGAGAGAUAUAUGGGAGCUUGGUUGAAGCUGGUGUUGUGGCUAUAUACUAAACCAUAUGCUGUUUAUCUUUGCAGGUUCGAUGUGCCUUUUCA